rnacentral:rRNA from 1 species
GAUGAACGCUGGCGGCGUGCCUAAUACAUGCAAGUCGAACGCGCAGCGAAAGGUGCUUGCACCUUUCAAGCGAGUGGCGAACGGGUGAGUAACACGUGGAUAACCUGCCUCAAGGCUGGGGAUAACAUUUGGAAACAGAUGCUAAUACCGAAUAAAACUUAGUAUCGCAUGAUACAAAGUUGAAAGGCGCUACGGCGUCACCUAGAGAUGGGUCCGCGGUGCAUUAGUUAGUUGGUGGGGUAAAGGCCUACCAAGACAAUGAUGCAUAGCCGAGUUGAGAGACUGAUCGGCCACAUUGGGACUGAGACACGGCCCAAACUCCUACGGGAGGCUGCAGUAGGGAAUCUUCCACAAUGGGCGAAAGCCUGAUGGAGCAACGCCGCGUGUGUGAUGAAGGCUUUAGGGUCGUAAAACUCUGUUGUUAGGGAAGAACAAGUGCUAGUUGAAUAAGCUGGCACCUUGACGGUACCUAACCAGAAAGCCACGGCUAACUAC